GACGAACGCUGACGGCGUGCUUAACACAUGCAAGUCGAAGGGAGUGGCGAACGGGUGAGUAACACGUGAGUAACCUGCCCUUUUCUUUGGGAUAAGCCUGGGAAACUGGGUCUAAUACUGGAUAGAUUGGGAUGGUCUCGCGGCUUAUCAGCUUGUUGGUGGGGUGAUGGCUUACCAAGGCUUUGACGGGUAGCCGGCCUGAGAGGGUGGUCGGGCACGCUGGGACGGAGAUACGGCCCAGAGUGCUACGGGAGGCAGCAGUGGGGGAUAUGGCACAAGGGACGAAAGUCUGAUGCAGCGACGUCAUGGGGGGGAUGGAGGCCUACGGGUUGUAAACUCCUUUCGCCAGCGGAAUGGUAGUGGGUAAAGAAGCGCCGGCUAACUACGUGCCAGCAGCCGCGGUAAUAC
rnacentral:rRNA from 1 species